rfam:Lupinus angustifolius cultivar Tanjil contig_23389, whole genome shotgun sequence.
AGGUGCGAUCAUACCAGCACUAAUGCACCGGAUCCCAUCAGUUAAGCGUGCUUGGGCGAGAGUAGUACUAGGAUGGGUGACCUCCUGGGAAGUCCUCGUGUUGCACCUC